CUGUUUCUCCUCUGGGCCACUCCUCAAGCGGGGCAUCUGGUUAUGGGAAUCAAGGUUAUGGGUACGGUAAUUAUGGUGGAAGCAGUGGACCUUAUUCUGGUGGCUAUGGAGCUGCUGGUGGACGAGCUGGAAGUGGUGCUGGAGGAGAGAAUGAAUAUGGUGACACAAAUGGGAACUCAGGCUAUACAAAUGCAUCCUGGAGGUCUGAUUCUUCACAGACCUCAAGUGGUUACAGUGGUGGGUAUGGUGGUGCACAUUCCCGACAGGCGCA
rnacentral:lncRNA from 1 species